rnacentral:lncRNA from 1 species
CUGGGUGUGUGCUCAACCUGAAGCUGUGAGGGCUGAAUUUUUUCUCUCCUGGAGACAUUGUGAACCACAGAAGCUCCUGGUGACCUUGAAUCUACUUUCUGCUGCUGAGAAUUUACCUAUUUUGGAUGCUUCAUGAGACGAUUCCUCUUAGCAAAAGGGCACUGUGUACCCUCCAAGGCUGGAAAUGAUAGGUUUUCGGCGAGGAGUGAAAAUAUUGUGCUGACAGCCCUUUGCCUGUGUAGAGCAGGGUUGUUUACUCGCGCUGGAGCACAGCUUUAUUGAAGCAGAGAGUCAUGGUCCCAUCAUCAGGGUUGCCUAGCAACCAGUCUACGCCACUCCACAGAGUUUCAGAAUGGGCUGGACCACAAGUACCCACUUUGGGGGAUUUCCAGUGACAGUCCUACUCUCACUCCAUCACAUCGCUUCUAAAAUCUGAGUCACAUGGUUCAAAUUUCACAGUACAAAGUGUGUUCUUCAGAUCUGGGGUUCUCUCCAAAAUGGAUAAUCAUUAUUGAUUUUGUAAUGCAAUGCCAAGACCAUCAGUAAGGUUAUGUGAAGUUGGCAGUUCCCAAGGGCUUUAGGCUUGAAGCUGUGGGUCAUACCCCUUCGGAAACUUGGUCCCCAAGAGAAAUGUAUGCUUCUGAAAACCACAGGUGCAUGAAUCGUGUUUAGUAAAUGACUACUAAACUGAAAUCAGGACUUGUCUAUAUCUUGGCUUCUCAAACUUGAAUAUGCUUAUCAUCUGGAUAGCAAAAGCAUUCCUACACGUUGAGGCCUGCCAGCGUGGGUGUCACCCAGGAGCCACUCGGAAAGGCUCAUCGGAAACCACCCCGGACUGACUGAGGCAGAAUCUCUGGGGGCAGGACCCAGGCCUCAGCAUAAAAACUCCAGGUGACGGAAGAGCUCCCACCUAACAGGUGUGUUGGCAUUGUUGUAGGUGACUGACGUAGUUUCCCAUCUCACAACUCUACCUCCAUGAAGAAAAGUCAUGGAAAAUUGAGACUUUGGGCUGAGUGUGGCUCAUCCCUGUAAUCUUAGUGCUUUGGGAGGCUGAGGUAGGAGGAUCGCUUGAGGCCAGGAAUUUGAGGCCAGCCUGAGCAACAUAGUGUCUCUUCAAAAAACUAAGUUUAUUCUUUCCUCUUUUUUAGUUUUUAUUUUACACGGCUCACUGUGGCUUUGACCUCCCAUGCUGAAGCGAUCCUCCUAUCUCAACCUCUCAAGUAGCUGGAAGCACAGGCAUGCACCACCACACCUGGCUAAUUUUUUUCUUCCUUUUUUAAAGAGACAGUCUUGCCAUGUUGCCCAGGCCCUGUUGACCAGGAAAAAAAAAAGUUUUUUUUCUUUUUUAAAGAAAGAAAAUAAAAGAGACUGAGAAACCACAGAAAUAAAGAAGCGCUGAUGACAAUGCCUGCUUGCUGAUGGUUACGAUGAUCAUAGCAGUGUGCAUUUUGUAUGCAUGAAGCCUGCGACUAAAUAAACGUGUGGGGAAAUAUUUGUAAGGAAAUAAGCUAUUAAUAAAAUAAGCUAAAAUCACAGUUGCUGGACUAUGACUGAUUUUUCCCCUUUCUCUCAUUUAAAAUUAAAUAUUUGUAUGACUUGUAUAAUAGAAAAAUACAUGUAUUCAAUCUUAAAAAGAUAUUCUUAUUUUACACUUUACGGGACAAAAGAGGUUGUAGGUUGGAAUGGUUCAGUCCCCUUGUGACAACUCAAAAACAGAGACCUUAAGCCUUUCUCAACCAAUGUUGCGGGACAAGCAGGCGUGUGAGGCGACAAUGCCAUUAGGGUAUUUUUUGGAAAAAUUUUAGUGUGAGAGACAAAAGCCAAAUUCAAACUGGCCUGAGCCAAAAUAGGUAGGAAAGGGAGAAGCGGAGACAGGGAGGAAGAAAGAGAGAGAACAGAAAGAAAAAGGGAGAAAUGUCGAAAGGCAAAAUUACAACACAUUUAGUUAAAUGAUUGAAUUGGUUUUUAUUUGUAAUUCAUGAAUUGGGGCAGCAUCUCCUCUAAAACUUUAGGAAAAGUGCUCUGAUGAGCUAAACAGAGAAGCUUGGCUUUAUAGGCAGAAAAGGGUGAAGAAAGCAGACACAGGGAACAAAAAGCAGAUUGGUAAGCUCAGGUUACUUCAGGUUACUUUCCUUAUAAAGGUUAAAGUAGAGGGGACUUCCUUAUCAUGCUGGCUACAACUGGCCUGUUUGGGGAUUUGCAUAUUAUCUCUCUCUGUCUUGAGUUCUGGGAAGGUCUGAUGACUUAGUUUCAGUUUGGUGAUAUGGAACUUAGCAUGAGUGACUCCAUCUUGGUUUGGUCUACUGGGGCCUCCUGCAGGAGCUCAGCCCAAAUCAGUGACCUCCUAUAAAUUUCAUUUAAUAGAAAAGGAAGGAAGGAAGGAAGGAAGGAAGGAAGGAAGGAAGGAAGGAAGGAAGGGAGGGAGGGAGGGAGGGAGGGAGGGAGGAAGGGAGGAAAGAAGGAAGGAAAGAAAGAAAGUUGCUUAUAAGUUGCUUAUAACUAAAAAGACCAGCUGGACCCAGGAGCUCUGAGGUUGCUUUCAGGCCUCUGUCCAUCUCUUAGUUUUCCAUCCUCAGACAGGCUCUGCCCUGCCUUACAGUCUAGCAUUGUUGGCCAAAGGUGACUGACUGGCCCAGCUUGGGCUAUAUGUCCUUCCCUGUGGCCAGAGAGAUGUGUCUCUGUGAUGGCCAGGCUUGGGUCACGUACUCCCUCCCCUACCAGAAUCACAUGAAAAGAGGGAGGAAGAGCCGCUUUCCACCAAAGGAAACUGAAGUGCUAUUGUCAGAGGGGUUGCUGGGCAGACCAAAAAGAUGACAAUAUCUGCUCCAAUCGCUCGGGUUGUUGGUGCUUGGCAGAUUUGCCCCUACGUCACUUUUCAGAUGUGGAUAAGACUGAAGGUGACCACAGGCUUCCGAGAGGAAAGCUGCCAAUGGGGGUGUGAGAGGAGGGGGAAUUCUUACUCACCAAGGUUAACACUGUGCACACUGUUCUCCGAGGAAGUGGGAAUUUCCACAUGGUGAGUUCCCUUCCCUGUACAAUGAAUUACUAUCUUGAUGAGAAACCCGUGGGCAGCUGGUUGAGAAGAGAAAGGUAUUCUCUGAAUGAGAGGGAAUUUACCACCUUCCUUUCAAUGGUGACAGUUUUUUCUGGUGUCACCGCAGGGUGUGGAUUGAUUCAUAUACAAAUAUACAUAUCUACAUAGAUGCCAUUCUGCUAGCCUCUGCAAAAUGCAUGCCUGGAGACCAUUUCUGCUGCCUAGGAGAUGUCAACUUUGUCACCACCACUCUCUCUCCACCACUCCCACACCCUGCAGGGGCCAGGUGUGUGGGUGGGGAGCUCCCCAGCUGGAGGCCAGAUUAGAGGUCUCUGUGUGGUGGGGAUGGGGAGGAUGGGGUGGGAAUGAGGUGGUAGGCCACUGGCAGUGGUCCAAGUUCCAUCCAGGAUCUGUCCUAGGCCUCUCCCCAGGCUGUCGCUUCCACCAUUGAAUUUCUAACCUGGAUCUCUAAGGUUAUGAAUAUCUCAUUCCCGCAUCCUGGGGUGCUCAGACAUGUCUCCCCUGAGUCUCUAGCUGGGCUCGUGGCUGUGAUCAUUGUCCUCAGAGUUCCAUCCUCCCAACAAAGGGACAGAAGAAACACAGGGCCCACUUUUCUGGAUUCUGAGUUGGAGCCAAGAAAUUCUAUCUGCUGCUUCCUUCCUGUUGAAUUAUCCCCCAAGGACCCCUUAGUCCCUCCAGUCUCCUCCAGAGGCCUAUAGCUGCCCCAGCUCCCCAUGAUGGAUACCUGGCUCUUUCCUACCCAGAGGAAAACGCAGGCCCUUCCCCAGCCCUGCACUGAACUCCUGUGAGUGGCUGAGGAGAUGAGGAGGUGUGAAGAGUGAGUGUGUUGGGGAGGGAGGGGUCCCCUGCCACCAGGUACCAAGGACUUCUGCCAGAUCACCAGAACUGACACCUGGUUCCACCGGCCAGCUGUGAAGUGUCGGCCCUGACAUCAACAGCUGACCUCCCACAGGGCCUAAGGAAACGGAAUUGUGG